rnacentral:rRNA from 1 species
ACUGACGCUGAUAGACGAAAGCGUGGGGAGCGAACAGGAUUAGAUACCCUGGUAGUCCACGCAGUAAACUAUGGGCACUAGUUUUUGGCGAUAGACAGUCAGAGACAAAGCGAAAGCGUUAAGUGCCCCACCUGGGGAUUACGUUCGCAAGAAUGAAACUCAAAGGAAUUGACGGGGGCCCGCACAAGCGGAGGAACAUGUGGUUUAAUUCGAUGAUACGCGAGGAACCUUACCUGGGCUUAAAUGCUAGGCGUCUUCGGGCGUAGUCUGUAGAAAUACAGCUUAAACUUGCAAGGUGCUGCAUGGUUGUCGUCAGCUCGUGCCGUGAGGUGUCGGGUUAAGUCCCAUAACGAGCGCAACCCACAUUCUUAGUUGCCAUCAAAUAACGUUGGGCACUCUAGGAAAACUGCCAUCGUCACACUCUGAGGAACGGUGUGGAUGACGUCAAAUCAGCACGGCCCUUAUGUCCAGGGCUACACACGUGUUACAAUGGUCGGUACAAAAGGCAGCGACCUGGUAACAGAGAGCUAAUCUUAAAAACCGGCCUCAGUUCGGAUUGGAGUCUGCAAUUCGACUCCAUGAAGUCGGAUUCGCUAGUAACCGCGCAUCAGCAAUGACGCGGUGAAUACGUUCCCGGGCGUGUACACACCGCCCGUCAAGCCAUGGAA